AAAAACUAUCACCAUGAUGAAUUUUAGCAUCAACAAACCAUCAUGGUGUGCUAUUCCUGUUGUAUGCCAAUUAUAUCUGAUGAGGCCAGCCACACUAGAGGAAGAGAUAGACAAGCUAGACUUAGAUCCUUAAAUAAUUUCUCCAAAAUAGGAACCAGAGGACUUUUUACUUUUCAAUCAGAGGAUUUUUUAAUGCCAGAUUCUCUGGUUGACAAGUUGAAACAUUUUCAUGCAGUGAAUCUGACCAAUUAACCUAUUGCAAUAUGAACAAGUUAACUCUGACCUAUUCUAUUAUUAUUUUAGUAUGCUCU
rnacentral:lncRNA from 1 species